UACGUAGGGUGCGAGCGUUGUCCGGAAUCACUGGGCGUAAAGGGCGCGUAGGCGGCGCGAGUAGUCAACGGUGAAAGCCCGGGGCUCAACCCCGGGUCGGCCGUCGAUACUCUCGUGCUUGAGCACUGUAGAGGCAGGUGGAAUUCCGGGUGUAGCGGUGGAAUGCGUAGAGAUCCGGAAGAACACCGGUGGCGAAGGCGGCCUGCUGGGCAGUAGCUGACGCUGAGGCGCGACAGCGUGGGGAGCAAACAGG
rnacentral:rRNA from 1 species